UACGGAGGGUGCAAGCGUUAUCCGGAAUCAUUGGGUUUAAAGGGUGCGCAGGCGGGACUUUAAGUCAGUGGUGAAAUCCCUUCGCUUAACGAAGGAACUGCCAUUGAUACUGAAGUUCUUGAAUUUAGUUGGCGUGGGCGGAAUGUGCCAUGUAGCGGUGAAAUGCGUAGAUAUCUGGAGGAACACCGGUGGCGAAGGCGGCAUCCUGGACCGGUAUUGACGCUGAGGCGCGAAAGCCAGGGGAGCAAACGGG
rnacentral:rRNA from 1 species